rnacentral:rRNA from 1 species
UGCGCAGGCGGAUUGAUAAGUCAGUGGUGAAAACCUUCAGCUUAACUGGAGACUUGCCAUUGAUACUGUUAGUCUUGAGUACGGUCAAGGUAGGCGGAAUGUGUAAUGUAGCGGUGAAAUGCUUAGAUAUUACACAGAACACCGAUUGCGAAGGCAGCUUACUGGGCCAUUACUGACGCUGAGGCACGAAAGCGUGGGGAGCGAACAGGAUUAGAUACCCUGGUAGUCC